rnacentral:rRNA from 1 species
GACGAACGCUGGCGGCGUGCUUAACUCAUGCAAGUCGAACGAAGUGGCGAACGGGUGAGUAACGCGUAAUCAACCUGCCCUUCAGAGGGGGACAACAGUUGGAAACGACUGCUAAUCCCGCAUACUGAAGGCGGGGUUGGCGUCGGAUUAGGUAGUUGGCUGGGUAACGGCCCACCAAGUCGAUGAUCAGUAGCCGGGCUGAGAGGAAGAACGGCCACAUUGGGACUGGGACACGGCCCAGACUCCUACGGGAGGCAGCAGUGGGGAAACUUCCGAAAUGGAGGAAAGUCUGACGGAGCAACGCCGCGGGAGUGAUGACGGCCUUCGGGUUGUAAAGCUCUGUUAAUCGGGACGCGGUACCGGAAUAGAAAGCCACGGCUAACUACGUGCCAGCAGCCGCGGUAAUAC